GCGUUUUGUGUAUGUGUGUGUGUGUGUAUGUGUGUGUGUUGGGAAGUGCUUGCGCUAGCGAGCACCGAGGCAGGCGCUCUGAGCAGAGAGAGAUCAGUCUUUCCAUGGCCACGUCUGGCACUUAUCUGUGGAGCCAUCUAGGCCAGAGCUCCUAGAUUGGGGUUCGAGUUCACCCCCUGUAAAAAGAGAGGCCAGCAAAGGCUUCCCUUGAACAGCCAGGUCCUUCCCAUCGGAUUGUUUGAGGAAGGAGGCUUGAAGUGUGAGCCAUUCCGUAGCCGCCGCCUUGCCGGAUGUGGCCUGGUGUUUUGCACUUGAAACUGAGCAGCCUCAGCGCGGAGGUAGUGCCUCUCCGAGACGCAGCGGAGGCCUUCUCAUUCCCCUCCUUCCGCCCGCGGCAGCCCUGCGCGCCGGCGUGUGCGUGCCCGCGCACCGGACCGCUGGCACCUCCCUGUGCACAUCCGCCCCCUCCUCUGCUCGCCACCUUCUCUCAGGCAGCUAAGAAAUGGUCCUCGGCCUCUUCUGGGCUGGAGGGCAGAGCUACGAGCAGGCAAGAAAGGGGCGCCGGUGGCUGCGGUGGCGACUUCUCCGCUCUGCCCUCGGCCGCCAAGUCUACCGUUUCAUCGUUCCACCUCGCAGCCCCAGCUUUGUUUUCCUGACAUGCUCGUGGCCAUUGGGCCCCACGCCUGCGAGGGGAGUGUGUGCGUGUGCGCGGGGGGCGGGCGCGCGCGGCGGGUGGGGGCUCUCCCGCCAAGGACACGCAUGGCUGUCUGUCCUCCGGCUGCACUUGGCGGGAAAGCUAGGGGCCGCCGGCGGGGCUGAGCGCCAGCGGCUCUCAUUACCGCCUCCCUGCUCCCCCCGGGCCGCAUUUACAUACGGGCCACUCGUCUGAAUUUUUACGGCACUCUUCCCCCUCCCGUACCCGGUCGCACGCGCGCAGGCUCGGAACUACCACCCCGGCACGCAGACACCCGCGCCUAGGAUGCGGCCAGCCCCAGGCGCGCAAACAGGCCCGCAGGGGCCGACGGCACUCGGCGGGACGGAUUCCUGCACCGCCUCCCAGCACCCCCGCGCCCACACCCCUGACAGCCUCUCCACUUGUGUUGCAGGAAGCCCACCUUCCCCUCGAGGCCCCCACCCUUCUCUGUCUGCAUACUUCCACCCCCACCCUCCCACAUCUCUCCGUCUCUCUUUCCCUGGAAGACAGGCGCGCGCGCGCACACACACACACACACGCACACACACACACCAGCUUUUUCUUCCUCCUCAGAUAACCCCUAUGGCGCGUCCCUGGUACCUUUAGAAUAGCUCUAGAGUUUAGAGAAUAAAAUUCUUUAGAAUGCAUUGCUUGUCUUUAGCCAAACACAUUUAACAAUCACGACACAAACGGGGAGGAGUGAAGAAGGGGGACUUGAACCACACGACCUUAAAAAAAAAAAAAAGUCUGCGAGUCAAAAGGUCAUUCUGCAAGUUUGUAAAUAAAAUUGCAAAGGGAGUCCUUAAGAAAGGAGAGGAAAGAAGGGGAAGAAGGUUAGGAAGACUCACAAGUUACACAAAACGGUGCAUUGGAAAAACGACAGGGCGAUUCUGUAAUAAUAAUAAAAAAAAAAUCUUAAACCAAGAGAGGAAAAAAAAAAAACUGGAGGAAAAAAGAAAAAGAGAAGAAAAGGAUUUUUAAAAAAAGAAAAAAGCAAAAGAAGUUUCCAAAGAAAUGUGUGCUUUGCAUCCUACAAUAGGAAAAUGUAGCCAUUGCCUUCCUUCAGACGAGACAUUUCUAAUUUGUUCCGUCUGUCAGGAGGGGACUAUAAGAGGUUUGGGUGCAAAUUCAUUAUCUCUGGCAACGCAGAACGUAGUGUGGGGACUGAAAAAGACCGUGGCAAUGGAUGAACAAUAGGGCUUCAGUUCAUCAGUAACAAAAGCAGUGGGGAAAUUGGUUGAGUUUCAGAGCACGUCCUCCUCGGCAGAGGGGGCUGGACUAGACCUUGGACAGCCCCCCCAAAAACUUGCCAAGCCUCGCACACACCACUUCACUCUCCACUCCGAGGCUCAGGGAGCAAGUGCCUGGCUUGGGGGGUAAAAGUUGGCUUUUUUUUUUUCCUCUUUGGUCUUUUGCACCCUUCUCCCUCUCCCCAGAAGGGAAGACCCAUUUAAACUAUUUUAGACGCAAUCAACCAAGAAUCACCAUGUGGAAUUGAGCGGCAGUUUUAAAUGUGUUGAGCAGAGGAGAGGAAUGAUGAGAAAAACAUUUUUUUUUUUUUUUUUUUGGAGACGCCGAAAGGAGCCUGUUUGUGUGCUGCGGCCGUGCUGUGACUCUGGAUCUUGUCUUUCAGCCGGCGCCUCGGUUCCUGCCCAGCUGGAUUUGGGGGGCAGUAUUGCCUGGCGCAGGGAGAUCAAAUAAGACUGCAAAGAAGCAUAAAAUGAAUAGACAAUCCAACCAACCAAAGACCGGGGGCAGCAGCAGGCCAGCAAGACGGCAUCUUCUCCUUCCCAGCCUAGAAGCCCUGUGAAAUCGAGGAUCUUCCCCCUAAAACACAUACACACAAGAUAUGUGCAAUCAAGCUGCCACCGCUUGGUAAAAAGCUCAUGGUGCCUAACCAAAAAGGAUCAGGAACAGAUCCUUGAAUCAGCUGUCACUUCUAUAGAAUGGGAUGUUUUUUUUUUCCUUCCUCCUUAACCUGCGCUGGAAAUUGCCGUUGGCUUUAUACAUCUCUAUAGAGAGAGGCUAAAGAGUCUUGCGUGAGAAAGAAGCAAUUUACAAUGCAAAUAGAGGCCUGUGAAGGGACGGAUGCUGCUGCUCACUCGUAACAGCUUGCUGCACGUUAAUAGCUGGUUUUAUUUUCUGAUAUUAAUAGAUGAAUUGUUGGCUAACGCUGCCGGAGAUUACUUGCUGAAAGGAAAAAAAAAAAGUUCGGAAUAAACUCUGAAGGCAACAGAUCUCGUUUGGAUGUUUUAGCCGCGCACACACACAAACAGAAACCAGGUCAUAUUUACAUAAAAGGAGGAAUCUUAAGCGCGGCAAGUAUCCUGGACGACCACUCUUCGGUACUGCCAGAAAGGAUCCGGAUCUGGAAUCUGGCAAGAGGAAGACAGAGGCCUGUGUGGGAAGCGAGUUGUUAUCUUUGGUUAUCUAGCUGUAUGAGUGUAUUGGUCUUCAUAAAGCUAGAUAACCGAAAGUAAAAACUCCUUCAAGAUCGCCGGGGAGCGUGUGAGAAUGAAAGACUACAACCGAGAGACAGUAAAAACCAGAAAGGAAAUUGCUUUGGAGAUGAGGAAACAAACUUUUUUGGAGACCUAAGAGACUGAAGACAUCUGGCCUGCACUGCUCUGAUGGUAAAAUUGAAAGUACACCUAAAUUUGCUUUGUUACAGGAUUCUCUUCAGAGGACAAGAGAAGAUGUUACAUUCUCUGCAUGAGGACAAUUCUGCAGCAUCAAAAUCGAAUAAUAUUUGUUUUCUGGCAGCAGAAUUUUGUAUCAUAUUUCUAAAGACAGUGCACUUGGGUGGACGUCAAUGAAUACUAAACACUAAUUGAUCUGAUACAGCCGUAUGCACAUACCCAGAUAUACACGGUGGCUUGUAAUGGUUGAAAAAUUACAGUUUGGUUCUAUUAAAAGAUCUGUCACUUUUAGGUCAGAGUGGGAUUUUGGAGGGAGAGUCUCCCACAAUAGAAAACCAUCCUGACAACAGUGGUGUUUUGAGGUUGUUUGUUGUUUGGCUUGUUGAUGAUGCUUAGCUAAGGAGACACUUCCUUUCAGAUUCUGUCUUCCAAACCCCAGGGCUCUGUUCUGGGCAGUUCAGCCUAAUGGAAUUAAGCCUGACAUGUUUCAACUCUAUUUCUUGAUAAAAUAAACAUAAAACAAUGGUUUAGAUUUCGAAUAAAACUCUUGAAGCAUGGGGGACUCUAACUUUCCUGUUCUUUACACAUCUGUAAAUAAAGUGCAUAAAAGAGGAACACAACAGGAUAAAUCAACAUAAAUUUGAAAUCCACUGCAGCAUAUUAAAUGGCGCAGUCUCAGUCAAAGAGAGGCUGACCCUGAGGCUUCGUGCAGUUUGAAGCUAAUUGUUUUCGUCAGGAUGGGAACGUCUGGAAGUCCAUGGCUGUAUCCCACCAGUAAGGCUCCAGUAACUGAGCCGGCCCACAGAGAAUGGGCCCACUUUGUAGCGACACAGCGGGCUCAGACACCACCUAUUCUGCUCUCCAAACUGUCAUGCAUAACAACUUUAUUGUGCUAAAUUGAACUUGAAAGCAACCAAAGGCUAUGAGAAGGAGAGGCUAUGAGAAAAGCGUGCUGUCAGCGCUGGCAAAGGCUGACCUGGAAAGUAGGCUCAGAGACAGGGGAAUAAAAGACCAGGCCCCAUGAACACAGCAUAUUGUUUCAUUUUAAAGUAUGAUUCCCAUACCAGAGAAAGUAGCAAAUGUGAUGUAAAUUUAUUUAAAUAGAUUCGACCGCUUAAAAGUUUGCCAGCCGCUCUUAUCCAACUUUCCCAGCUCUCUGAUUCGUUACUUACAGUGGGAAUAUAAUGACAUAUAGUCAUCAUUGUAACAGCUUCUUUGCAGGGGCACAAUGAUGAUUAAUAGCCAGCAGCAAAUUUUCACAUGGGCUCUGAAGCACUAUGGCAUUAAGCAGCCAAACAGUCCCAAAUCCCCCUUUUCUGUUCCGCUGAAAAGUCCCCUCCUUGUACCUUCCAGAUAGGAACAAAGCCUAUCUUAAUUCCAAUCAGCUUUUCGUCAUUCAAAGGGACCUUCUCUUUUUCAUAAUUGAUUCAUGUGCAUUUUUUAGUGUUCCACUGAGCUGAAGCCACUUUUCUCCUUUCCUCUGUUCUGUCCCCACACCCACACCCCCUUUUUUUGAGGGGGUGAGGAGUGGGAAACAUUUUAACAACAACAACAACAACAGUAAAAAAUGGUGUGGUAGUUUCCCCCCAAAAUAUUUGCUAAAUAGAUUUCUCAAUUAGUAUUAGCUUUACACUUAAAAGACUUAAAACAAAAAUUAACUCCUGGACUUCUUUUUUGUUGGAAGUGGUUUUGGUUAUAAAAAUAUGAGCUUACUGAAACAGCUCUGGUGGCAGCCCCACAGUCAUGUUCUGUUUCACUGGGAGAGUUUGAGUAGCUUUCCUUCCCACCAGAGACUCACAGCUGGAGUGAGGAUGGAGUCUCUUGCUUCAGACAGAUUCUUUUUCCUCCUCUGUGCUGGUAGCCAUCAAAAAAGGAACAAGUGACCAAAAUGAAAGGCGGCAAAUGCACAUCUCCUAACCCACUCUGUCCUUCUUAAGUAUCAUUUUUCCCCAUAGUAAUCUUACAUUAUAAUUAUUAGGAGAAGCUUCUGUGCUAUUUGUGGAAGUGCUCUCUCUCUCAUCCAUAGUUUUCACCUCCUGUGAUAACGACACAAACGACAUCAACCAGUGCUGUCUUGGAAAAAGAUUUCCACCCGCAAAUUCAUUUGGGUUUCUAUGACAAUAUAAUGGCCAUAGAGAACAGUUUUGGUAGAUAUACUUUGCACAUUUGUUUACAUUCUUUACAAAUCUGACCUCAUUUUUCUAUAUGAGUAGGGUGACCACACACCCCUGUUUUCUCAGGACAAGCUUUAUUUAUGCCUGUUGUCCUUACAUAAUUAUUAACAGUACUUCCUUUCACCCUCAAAAGUAUCCUGACUUGAACAAUUUGAAAAACUCAUGCCUUUUUGCCAUUAAAAUGGCCCCAAAUGACUUAUACAAACCCAAAGGGUGGGCUGUCUCCUACCCAGGUGGCUGGGGACUGCUUUAUACCAUCCCGGUUUAGGGGAAAGAAUCAAACUUGGAAACCCUGCUGCCGAUGUAGCAGCACCGACUUUUGUCUCGCCCACUUUGAAGAGGUCAGUUGACCCUAUACAGCUUCUUUGAUAUGUGACAGAAAGGAGGUCAUUUGCUGAAAUGAAAGACACAUUACAAACCAGAUUUUAAGUAUGACUCUUUCCUUCAGCUGGGUCACAGUUCUUACUUUGAGCCAGAGCAACACACUUUACUGGUCAGAUAAAAAUACUCUGCCAUAUUUUAGAAUAAUGACCUUUCUUAUGCUUUGGUGUCUCCAAAUGGUUAAAUGAAGAAUAUAUCCAAUUGACAGGAGGAAUUCUGUUCAUCAUUUUUACUCUAGUGUUUAUAUCUUCUCAUAAAAAAACAACAUGUGGAAAUGGCAUCAUGUAUCUCUAUUGUAUUUUUCAUUCAAAAAUCUCAAAUAGGUGAGUGUAAUCCAGUCUUUAGGUUAUAGGACCAAAGACUCUCAAAGAGUGUUACAAACCCCUGGACAAUCUCCCUAAGGGCUGGACUUUGCAUAUGGAUUACCGAGUUAACUGAGAGAUGUGUAAUAUCAGCUGUAGUCAGAAAACUCCCUACUCCCUAUGUGGGGCAACCAAGGACAUUCAUAUGUGUUGCUUAUUCUUGAAAGUAUAUGGGAUAAAUGGGCUCCUGACAUGCUAGUUUCAGAAUAACUAUGGCAGGACCUUAAAAUUUCCAACUUUCCAUAAGACCAUAGCUCAUAUUCAAUUACUGGAAGGAUAAACAUGUAAGAUUUUUAACUCUGCCUUACUAGUUCUUUUAGAGGAGCAUAGCCCCUUGAUGAAGGCAUUGUUCUAAGCCAAAUCUGGACCUAUCUAAUCUUUAUUCAUGCAUUUUGUCCGCUUUCUUAGAUCAUUCUUUCAGAAAUGAAAUGAGUGGGGUACAUGAAAUAUAUUUUCUGAUGCACUCUUCUUGAAAUAAAAUACUUUUUAUGGUUGUGCAUUUAUUUGUGAAGUGAAUGUUUGGAAAACUUUAAAACCAAUUCUACCAUUCUGUCCUUCUUUGAUGGUGAUAACCAACUGUUCUGUUUAAUAGGAUGAUGGAAUUGGUUACCACUAAAGUCCAACCCUUAGAAAUCACUCUGUAUUUUUAGGCCCUAGAUGUUUAUAAGUCUAUGAGAAUCUAACAAGGAGAAUUGGUUUCUCCUAACAAUUCUAUUAUCUUGCAGGUGGCUGUGUCCAUUCUUAAAACUUUUGGCUCAUCUUACCAGAUUUUUUACAAAGAUGCAGAUGUUCCUUAAAAGUGGCUGAAAGAUUAGGGACUUCGUGCCUGAUGUGCUGGAAUAUGCCUGAGUUCUGUUAAAUCUGAUUUAAACAUAUUAAAUCAAAUCUUUUCUGAUGUAUUCUUAUGCCCUCAUUUUCAUGUAAUGUUACUACUAUGAAGAAGUGUAAUUAAGACUUUGAUAUGAGCCUUCACAGUCUAAAGAGUGCUUCAGUGACAACAGUUUUAUUAGAUUAUGGUGAUGGGCCUGGCUGUGAAAUUCCCACAUUCAUGAAGGACUCUGCUUUUUACUGGCUAAAAACAGGAUUUUAAAAUGCAAUGACCUUUGGGACUCUCAGAUAAGUUGCCUCUUCAACCCUGAGGUUAUUUGAUGAAUUACUGGGGACAUACAGAAGGAUGGAUUAAUGAAUGCUGUGCUCAUCUUGUCUACUGGCACCAUCUGAGGGACUGAAGGUCAGGGUGCCUCUUUAGACUUUGGUUUGAGAUUACAAUGUUACCCCCCUCUUUGCUCUAGUAACUCCAUCCUCUCCACUCCAUCACUCUCUAUUAUCUCUAGAAUGCCAUAAAGCACUUACAGUUAUUUUUCCUCACAGUGGAAAAUCUCUUUAUACAAACUAUAUAAACCGAGGCCCACUAUCCUUAUACAAUCAGGGCCAACCUCUUUCCCACCAAAGACUAAUUCUGCCUGGAUGCCCAGGAUAGUUAUUUUAUGUACAUACACUAUCCAUAUCGUAAUCCCAAGCCAGGUAAAUAUAUAUGUAAUACCCGAGGUGGAUGUUUUUAUUACAUGGUGCCUACAUUUAGAAGUAUAAGAUCUCUUAAUUGGUUCCCGUCCUAAUUUUUUUAUAAACUCAAGCUUUUCGGGUCUUUACCCUGAUUUUCCAUAUUUUUCUUCUCUCUUUGUACUUGCUAACAGAACUCUGGUUUCUUUUCAGAUACCAUGCAAAAAAUAGGCUCAGAGAAGGCACAUGUAUGCCCAUGAGUCAUAAUUCGUCUAUCCCUUUCAUCAUAAUUCCGUUCUCCUUUGCCAGGGAUUGGUUUAGGGACAGGCAUGUGACUCAUUCACCAAAUGAACAUAAAAAGAAGUCCGUUGGGAUAGAUUUUCCUUUUGUAAAAAAAAAAAAGAGGCAAACUCCUGAGGAAAAUCUCAUGCUCCUCCAUGUUUUUAAAUCUUAUGUCAUGAGGAUGGGGGCUUGGAGUUGUGGCAACAAUAACAGAGAAGCCAAGAGAAUCCUAAAAAUCUGACCCAGAGAUAUGACAUUCGUGAGAUGUUAAUUAACCAACUUGGAAACGGUCACUUCUAGACUUCUUGUCGUCUGAAAUAAUAAACCCCUGUUACUCAAGUCGUACCUUGUUGGGAAUUCUGUUACUUGCAACCCAAAGCACAGUAACUGAAUCCCUCACCUUCUCUUUUACCAGUUAUUUCUUAGUUCACAUAUCUUUUCUAGCUUCUCUCAGUCAACUUGAUAGGAUAAUAGAACUCAGACUAUUGUAGUUGGCGGCAAGUAGAGAUCACCUCAUUAAAUCAAAUUUAAUAUACUUGAUUUACUGUAGAGGAAAUAAACCUAGGAAGCAACAAAAAUUAAUCUAAGGUCAUACAGGUAGUCUAGUCUCAACAGAAUUAGAGUAAAAUUCUGGUUUUCUGAAUUGCAGUCAAGUCUCUCCACAACAAUUUGGUCCAAUUUCCCCUAUUGCUCCGUACUCUCUUAAUCCAGCCACAGUUCAUUAAAGAUUGGCAUGCUGUACGUCUUACAUAUGAAGUACAUAAUAUAGGCCGAGCUCAGUGUCUCACGCCUGUAAUCCCAGCACUUUGGGAGGCUGAGGUGGGUGUAUCACUUGAAGACAGGAGUUUGAGACCAGCCUGACCAACAUGGUGAAACCUCAUGUCUACUAAAAAUACAAAAAUUAGCUGGGCCUGGUGGCACAUGCCUUUAGUCCCAGCUACUCAGGAGGCUGAGAUAGGGGAAUUGCUUGACCGGGAGGCAGAGCUGCAGUGAGCUGAGAUCACGCCACCGCACUUCAGCCUGGGUGAACAGAGCGAGACUCCAUUUCAAAAAAGUAAAAAAUAAUAAUAAAAAUAAAGUACCUAAGAUAAAUCGUAUCUAUAAAAAAAAUAUAUAAAGCAUACAUCCAUACAUACACCCAAUUUGUCAAAGGAAUUUAGUCAUCAAAGGACAUUUUCAUGGACUCCUAAGAAGAUCACUAUGUUACAGUUUCCCCGGAACUAAGAUGUCUUUAUUUAAAUAUUAUUUGGUAAUCUACACAUCAUUUUGUGUGUUUUGCGUAUUGAAUUUCUAAGGUCCUAAUUUCAGAUAUAUAAAAUAUAUACAAUGCACUGAGAUUAUGUUCAAAUCUGAUAUCUGGGAAAAAUGCACAAGAGAUGAGUGGUUCAAAUCUAUCCACAUCAUCCAUUCUAAAAUUUGGAGAUGCAAUGCUGAAUCCUAGGUCAGUUAACUAUACAUAAGUGUUGUGCAUACUUUCACAUUGUGGUGAGCAGUGAGGGAGAAGUGAUAGACAAGAGAGCAAGAGAUGGGCUGCUCUUUAGCCCUUGCAUUUUGGGACCAGGCAGGUUCUGGGUCGUUUCUCAUUGCUCUUUGCUCACAGUCCCAGCAUAACACUGAUUUUUGUUUUAAAUGUGAGAUAUUAAUAUUUUGGGCAGCAAUUCCUCUUGAUAGCUAUUACAGUAAAUUCCAGCAGCCAGUAUAAUCAAUGCAAAGUGACAUGGGCUGUUUAAUCAAUUAAAUUAAACAUAGUUUAAUGCACAGAAGAGUUCAUUUAAAUUUUUUUUUUAAUUGUGUUAAGAUAUCCAUAACAUAUUGCUUACCAUUUUCAUUAUUUUUAAGUUUACAGUUCAGGGGCAUUAAGUACAUUCACAUUGUGCAACCAUCACCACCAUCCAUCCACAGAACUUUUUUCAUCUUGCAGAACUGAAACUCUGUACCCAUUAAACAAUAACUCUCCAUUAACCCCUUGCACCAGCCCCUGAUACCUACCAUUCUACUAUCUGUUUCUGUUAUACACUGUUUGUCCUUUUGUGACUGGCUUAUUUCACUUAGCAUAAAGUCUUCAAGCAUAUAUUUCUUCCUUUUUAAUGCUGAAUAAUAUUUCAUUGUAUGUAUACACCCCAUUUUGUUUAUCUGUUCCUCCAUCAAUGGACACUUGAGUUGCUUCCACCUUUUGGUGAUUGAGAAUAAUGCUGCUGUGAGCAUGAGUGAUAUGGUCUGGUUCUCUGCCCCCAACCAAAUCUCAUCUUGCAUUGUAAUCUGAGUAUGUUGGGGGAGGUACCUCAUGGGAGGUGAUUAGAUCAUGGGGACAGUCCCCAUGCUGUUCUCAUGAUAGGGAGUGAGUUCUCAUGAGAUAUGAUGGUUUUACAAGGGGCUUUUCCACCUUUGCUUGGCAUUUCUCCAUCCUGCUGCCAUGUGAAGAAGGGCAUGUUUAUUUACCCUUCUACUAUGAUUGUAAGUUUCCUGAGGCCUCCCCAACUGUGCUGAACUGUAAGUCAGUUAAACCUCU